rnacentral:tRNA from 1 species
GCGGGCGUGGCGGAAUUGGUAGACGCAGCGGCUUUAGGUGCCGCCGACGAAAGUUGUGGGGGUUCGAGUCCCUCCGCCCGCACCA